AUGCAUAUCUAUUUUUUUUCACAAAAAGUGAUGUGCUUCUUCUCAUCUCAUCCGUCGCGGCUCUUUCUUCUUCACCUUUCAGAUCCAAAUUCGCGGCGGCUCAACCCUUCGUUCUCUCUUCCAUUUGCAAACAACAACAAUCUACUCUACCUAACCUUCUUCACUCUUAGUCGCUCCCGUCCUUCGAUUUACGAACGAGUAACAAUAAGAACAACUUUUACCACCUCUGUCUCUUUUUGCUCGAUAUCUGAUAUGUAA